GGAAGUAAAAUCGUAACAGGUUUCCGUAGGUGACCUGCGGAAGGAUCAUUAAAAAAUGUGGUACCAAUUAUUGGUACUAAUUAAUCAUCCUACCCUUUGUGAAUUUGUUUGUAUGAAUUUUUUUAAAUGGUCUUUCCUAAGUUGGAUUGUUAGUAAAAUACAAAAAGACUUAGGGAAUGACUUUUUUAAAAGACUUUUUUUUAAUUAAAACUUUUUGUAUUCAUUUGUCUAAAAUUUAUUUUUAUAACAUAAAAAAACAACUUUUGACAAUGGAUCUCUUGGUUCUCGCAACGAUGAAGAACGCAGCAAAAUGCGAUAAGUAGUGUGAAUUGCAGAAUACGUGAAUCAUCGAAUCUUCGAACGCAUAUUGCACUUUUUUAGUUUACUAAAAAAGUAUGUCUGUUUGAGUAUCAGUAAAAUAUUCUCACAAAAACGAUUUGUUUUUUGUGGUUAUGAGUGUUUUACAACGAUAAACAAGUUGUUUCACUUUAAAUUCUUUUUUAAUUGAAUUUUACCAAUUCAUAAAUUAAAAUUGGAUAAAGUUUUCCUUUAACGAGGAAUAACCUAAACAAUUUUAAAUUUUAUGGAUUAAUUACAUUCAACAAAGGAAUCUAUACAACAAAUAACUUGAUCUCAAAUCAGAUAAGAGUACCCGCUGAACUUAAGCAUAUCAAUAAGCGGAGGAAAAGAAACUAACAAGGAUUCCCUUAGUAACGGCGAGUGAAGCGGGAAGAGCUCAAAUUUGAAAUCUUCAAGGUUUGACCUUGACGAAUUGUAGUUUAUAGAAGUGUUUUCUGUUGGAGUUUUGGUAAGAGUUCUUUGGAAUAGGACAUCAUAGAGGUGAGAAUCCCGUAUUUGACCAUGACUUUCCAGCUGUGUGAUACACUUUCAAAGAGUCGGAUUGUUUGGGAAUGCAGUCCAAAAUGGGUGGUAAAUUUCAUCUAAAGCUAAAUAUUGGCGAGAGACCGAUAGCGAACAAGUACCGUGAGGGAAAGAUGAAAAGAACUUUGAAAAGAGAGUUAAACAGUACGUGAAAUUGUCAAAAGGGAAGCGUUUGACACCAGUGUUGUUUUCUCGAAAAUCAAUUUAAUGAGUUCUUGUUUUUAAGUUAUUGUGACUUUAUCAGCGCAUUUCUUAUUUUACUUGACUCAUUGAAUGCACUUUUCGUUUAACAAGUCAACAUCAAUUUCUUUGGUGGUAAAAAGUUUAAAGGAAGGUGGCUUGGACUUCGGUUCAAGUGUUUAUAGCCUUUUUUCUAUGCCAUCGGAGAGAUUGAGGUCUGCAGCGUAGAUCCUUCGGGGUUAGAUACCUUUGUGCUAAGUUAUAGUUUUUUAUGGACAACUUGUUGACUAUAAUUAAACCUGUAAUUUACUCGCUUAGGCUAUUUUACCUACGCUUAGG
rnacentral:misc_RNA from 1 species